CUCAGCUUCAACUACUUCCUCUUCAGCUCUUGCCGCCGUGUGACAAUCUCGGAUUCGGUUAAAAUUCUAUCACGUGAUUACCCAGUUUUCGCUUGGUUUGGUUGCUUGUCCAGUCGGCUUUGCUUUGACUACAUCGAAUUCUUCCUCUUUGGCGGCUAGUCAUUGCGGUGGUGAUGCUAUCUUGGCCGCGGCUGCAAUUCUCUCAGAUGUCGCCGGAGAGGACGACACGGGGACUUCCUCGAGCAUGAGGUGUCCAGGGAUGGGCACACUUGCUGGGUACCAGUGAAAGUUGCCGUUGGCUAGCUCGACUAGGAGGACUCACCCACAUGCCAUGCGGCUAGUUCACCCACAGGUGGUUCCCUUACAGGACAACUGGACUUCCUACGUCAGGAAAUGUCUUGCCACCACCACAAGACGGAGAUGUACUUAAUCAGCUGGUGUGGGAUGUGGUGAUGGCGUGCGGGAUGCAUGUGGAUGAGUGGGUGCUGCUCGCCGAGGUUGAAGCAAGACACAUGGCAAGCUGGCGACUCUUGUUUCUUAUCAUCAUCCCAGUUUAGCAAGGCUCUGAUGCGUCUGACGAACACCUCUUGUCCUUGCCGUAGGCACCU